UGAGGGUGAGCAGUCUGUGGCAA
rnacentral:misc_RNA from 1 species